CCUACGGGAGGCAGCAGUGGGGAAUAUUGCACAAUGGGGGAAACCCUGAUGCAGCGACGCCGCGUGAGUGAAGAAGUAUUUCGGUACGUAAAGCUCUAUCAGCAGGGAAGAAAGUGACGGUACCUGACUAAGAAGCCCCGGCUAACUACGUGCCAGCAGCCGCGGUAAUACGUAGGGGGCAAGCGUUAUCCGGAUUUACUGGGUGUAAAGGGAGCGUAGACGGCAGUACAAGUCUGGAGUGAAAGCCCGGGGCUCAACCCCGGAACUGCUUUGGAAACUGUGCGUCUGGAGUGCAGGAGGGGUAAGCGGAAUUCCUAGUGGAGCGGUGAAAUGCGUAGAUAUUAGGAGGAACACCGGUGGCGAAGGCGGCUUACUGGACUGUAACUGACGUUGAGGCUCGAAAGCGUGGGGAGCAAACAGGAUUAGAUACCCGAGUAGUC
rnacentral:rRNA from 1 species